AUUGAACGCUGGCGGCAGGCCUAACACAUGCAAGUCGAGCGGAUGAAGGGAGCUUGCUCCUGGAUUCAGCGGCGGACGGGUGAGUAAUGCCUAUGAAUCUGCCUGGUAGUGGUGGAUAACGUCCGGAAACGGGCGCUAAUACCGCAUACGUCCUGAGGGUGCAAGUGGGGGAUCUUCGGACAUCACGCUCUCAUGUGGGCCUAGGUGGGAUUAGCUAGUUGGUGGGGUAAAGGCCUACCAAGGCGACGAUCCGUAACUGGUCUGAGAGGAUGAUCAGUCACACUGGAACUGAGACGGGGUCCAGACUCCUACGGGAGGCAGCAGUGGGGAAUAUUGGACAAUGGGCGGAAGCCUGAUCCAGCCAGGCCGCGUGUGUGAAGAAGGUCUUCGGAUUGUAAAGCACUUUAAGUUGGGAGGAAGGGCAGUAAGUUAAGACCUUGCGGUUUUGACGGUACCAACAGAAUAAGCACCGGCUAACUUCGUG
rnacentral:rRNA from 1 species